rnacentral:rRNA from 1 species
GAGCAAUCUGUGUGACUGCGUACCUUUUGUAUAAUGGGUCAGCGACUUAUAUUCUGUAGCAAGGUUAACCGAAUAGGGGAGCCGAAGGGAAACCGAGUCUUAACUGGGCGUUAAGUUGCAGGGUAUAGACCCGAAACCCGGUGAUCUAGCCAUGGGCAGGUUGAAGGUUGGGUAACACUAACUGGAGGACCGAACCGACUAAUGUUGAAAAAUUAGCGGAUGACUUGUGGCUGGGGGUGAAAGGCCAAUCAAACCGGGAGAUAGCUGGUUCUCCCCGAAAGCUAUUUAGGUAGCGCCUCGUGAAUUCAUCUCCGGGGGUAGAGCACUGUUUCGGCAAGGGGGUCAUCCCGACUUACCAACCCGAUGCAAACUGCGAAUACCGGAGAAUGUUAUCACGGGAGACACACGGCGGGUGCUAACGUCCGUCGUGAAGAGGGAAACAACCCAGACCGCCAGCUAAGGUCCCAAAGUCAUGGUUAAGUGGGAAACGAUGUGGGAAGGCCCAGACAGCCAGGAUGUUGGCUUAGAAGCAGCCAUCAUUUAAAGAAAGCGUAAUAGCUCACUGGUCGAGU